GAGGGUAUGGCUCAGUGGUAGAGUACAUGCUUAGCAUGCUCGAGGUCCUGGGUUCAAUCCCCAUUACAUCCA
rnacentral:tRNA from 1 species